rnacentral:rRNA from 1 species
CCAGACUCCUACGGGAGGCAGCAGUGGGGAAUAUUGCACAAUGGGCGAAAGCCUGAUGCAGCGACGCCGCGUGAGGGAUGACGGCCUUCGGGUUGUAAACCUCUUUCAGCAGGGAAGAAGCGCAAGUGACGGUACCUGCAGAAGAAGCACCGGCUAACUACGUGCCAGCAGCCGCGGUAAUACGUAGGGUGCGAGCGUUGUCCGGAAUUAUUGGGCGUAAAGAGCUUGUAGGUGGUUUGUCGCGUCUGCUGUGAAAAUCCGGGGCUCAACCCCGGACUUGCAGUGGGUACGGGCAGACUAGAGUGUGGUAGGGGAGACUGGAAUUCCUGGUGUAGCGGUGGAAUGCGCAGAUAUCAGGAGGAACACCGAUGGCGAAGGCAGGUCUYUGGGCCAUUACUGACACUGAGAAGCGAAAGCAUGGGGAGCGAACAGGAUUAGAUACCCUGGUAGUCCAUGCCGUAAACGUUGGGAACUAGGUGUGGGUCUCAUUCCACGAGAUCCGUGCCGCAGCUAACGCAUUAAGUUCCCCGCCUGGGGAGUACGGCCGCAAGGCUAAAACUCAAAGGAAUUGACGGGGGCCCGCACAAGCGGCGGAGCAUGCGGAUUAAUUCGAUGCAACGCGAAGAACCUUACCAAGGCUUGACAUACACCGGAAUCA